GCAAGUCGAGGGGUAACAGGGGUUGCUUGCAAUCCGCUGACGACCGGCGAACGGGUGCGUAACGCGUAUAGAAUCUGCCUUGUACAGGAGGAUAGCCUUUAGAAAUGAAGAUUAAUACUCCAUAAUACUGAUUUGUGGCAUCACAAUUUAGUUAAACAUUUAUGGGUACAAGAUGACUAUGCGUCCUAUUAGCUAGAUGGUAAGGUAACGGCUUACCAUGGCAACGAUAGGUAGGGGGUCUGAGAGGAUUAUC
rnacentral:rRNA from 1 species